GAUGAACGCUGACAGAAUGCUUAACACAUGCAAGUCUACUUGAACUUCGGUUUGGGUGGCGGGCGGGUGAGUAACGCGUAAAGAACUUGCCUCACAGUUAGGGACAACAUUUGGAAACGAAUGCUAAUACCUGAUAUUAUGAUUUUAGGGCAUCCUAGGAUUAUGAAAGCUAUAUGUGCUGUGAGAGAGCUUUGCGUCCCAUUAGCUAGUUGGAGAGGUAACGGCUCACCAAGGCGAUGAUGGGUAGCCGGCCUGAGAGGGUGAACGGCCACAAGGGGACUGGGACCCGGCCUUUCCUCCUCCGGGGGGAAGCAUGGGGGAAUAUUGGACAAUGGCCCAAAAGUCUGAUCAGGCAAUUCUGUGUGCAAAAUGACGUUUUUCGGAAUGAAAAUUGUUUUCAGUUGGAAAGAAAAAAAUGACGGUCCCAAAAGAAGAAGGGACGGCUAAAUACGU
rnacentral:rRNA from 1 species